rnacentral:tRNA from 1 species
AGUUAAUGAACUUGAAUAAGUUUAUGUUUUGAAAACAUAAUAUAGAAGUAUAACCUUCUAUUAACUU